GUGGGGAAUAUUCCGCAAUGGACGAAAGUCUGACGGAGCAACGCCGCGUGAGUGAUGAAGGUUUUCGGACUGUAAAGCUCUGUUGUUUGGGACGAAAGUGCCUGUUGCGAACAGUUACGGGUAUUGACGGUACUAAACGAGGAAGCCACGGCUAACUACGUGCCAGCAGCCGCGGUAAUACGUAGGUGGCAAGCGUUGUCCGGAAUUAUUGGGCGUAAAGAGCAUGUAGGCGGGAAUCUAAGUCUGUUGUUAAAAUGCGGGGCUCAACCCCGUAUUGCGAUGGAAACUGGGUUUCUUGAGUGCAGGAGAGGAAAGGGGAAUUCCCAGUGUAGCGGUGAAAUGCGUAGAUAUUGGGAGGAACACCAGUGGCGAAGGCGCCUUUCUGGACUGUGUCUGACGCUGAGAUGCGAAAGCCAGGGUAGCGAACGGGAUUAGAUACCCUGGUAGUCC
rnacentral:rRNA from 1 species